AAAAACGGUUAUUUGAUGAUUUAUUUCGAUUGUAUAAAGAAUGACAGUUAGCGAAUCUCUAGAUCAACCACUGAGGAUUGUUUGGCUUGAUGCAAUGACCUUAAACAGUGAAAUGAUUUUCCAGGAAGGUCUAUGCACAACAAGCUGAAUUUUAAGGGGAGAUGAAAGAACUAUGAUUAUGUAAAUGGGAAUGAAACAGAAGGAAUUAAUAUGUUCU
rnacentral:lncRNA from 1 species